rnacentral:lncRNA from 1 species
CUAGGCGCUGGUGUUCUGGUGGCCCCAGCUAAGAAUUUGGAAGGGUGAAAAGAAAGUUAUUUUUUCUCCCUUACACUGGUAAAAUGAUAGCUGCAAGGAUGUCUGUCACGGGACAAUAAAGUGAAAAAUUUACCAUUCACUAUCUCCAAACUAUUUAGAGGUAAGUGAAAUUUUAAUAAGUACACUUUCAGAAAAUGCUGUAAAGUUGUAUCAUUCAUAAGCCUGAGGUUAUGAUAGCCUUGCUCCCUUCCCAAGUGAGAAGCAAGUUCUCAAGUGCAGGCUCUCCCUCUGCCCUGUCACCCCCUGCUUUUUGCUAAGGACCUGCUAGGGAGCCAGUGCUUCUUCCAUGGCCUUCCUAGGGUUGCUAUAGGUAUUGUCCACAUCGACUACGUGGGUGGGGGAGAUAGGUUUUUCGUGCCUGACUGGUAAGUCUUAUUUGUAUUUUCCUUUGUUUUGAAAAGAAAGAACAUGCUCUUCAUGAAGGUAAGUUUUACAUAAUGGAGACAGUGUAGUAUAGAGAGGAAAAUGGAAGUUAACCACUGAUGCCACCACCCAGACAAGUGUUAAUUUGGGGCAUGUAUCCUUGCAGCAGGUUGUUCCCUGAGGGAGAGGCAUAUAUAAAUAAAGAUCAAGGAAAGACAAUAGUCGAAGGAGCUCCCUAGGCUCAAGGGUAACCUCCAUCUAAAGUUGACCCUUGGGGAGUUCCCGUCGUGGCUCAGUGGUUAACGAAUCCGAGUAGGAAUUAGGAGGUUGCGGGUUCGAUCCCUGGCCUUACCCAGUGGGUUAAGGAUCCGGCACUGCCGUGAGCCAUGUUGUAGGUUGCAGAUGCAGAUUCCGCGUUGCUGUGGCUCUGGCAUAAGCCGGCGGCUAGAGCUCCGAUUAGACCCCUAGCCUGGGAACCUCCAUAUGCCAUGGGAGCGGCCCAAGAAAUGGUAUAAGGACAAAAUAAAUAAAUAAGUAAAGUUGACCCUUGGAGUUCCCGUCAUGGCACAGCAGAAACAAAUCUGACUAGAAACCAUGAGGUUGUAGGUUCAAUCCCUGGCCUCGCUCAGUGGGUUAAGGAUCUGGUGUUGCCGUGACCUGUGGUGUAGGUCGCAGAUGCAGCUCAGAUCCCGCAUGGCUGUGGCUGUGGUGUAGGUUGCAGACGCAGCUCAGAUCUGGUGUUGCUGUGGCUCUGGCAUAGGCCGGCAGCAAUAGCUCUGAUUAGACCCCUAGCCUGGGAACCUCCACAUGCCAUGGGUGCGGCCCUAAAAAGACAGAAAAGACAAUCAAUCAAUCAAUAAAGUUGAUCCUUGAGUAACAUGGGGUAAUAAGGGUGCCAGCUCUCCCUGCAGUUGAAAAUAUUCGUAUAACUUGUUGUCAGGGUCUUUGUUUAUGAGGUUCCUCUGUAUCUAUGGUUUUGCAUCCACAGAUUCAACCAACCUUGGAUUGUGUAGACUGUGGUAUUUACUAUUAAAAAAAAAAUCAAUGUAUAAGUGGACAUGUAGUUUAAACCUAUGUUGUUCAGUUGUACUUCGUUACUAAACAACUGACUGUGAGGAUAUUUUUGUUGACUAUUUCCAUUAACAAAUAUUAUCCUUACUUAUUUUUACGGAAAAAAAAAACAACCCAUCUUCACCAAUACAGAAGACUAAGUCAUCCCUGUCCAGAUCCACUCCCCAGUGUAACCACCCUUAAAAGAAAUACUUUUGAAAUUAUCCAUGGGCUCUCCAUCAGCCCCAGGGCAACGCAACUCACCUGCUGACUGCUCCUAAUGCUUCAGAAUUUCCUGCCUCCAUUCCAUAACCCCACAGAGGACAAUGAACAGGCUGUCCAGCUUCACCCAGCCUGGGCUCAGGCUCUGACAGCCCCCUUUCUCAUCCUUCUCUGCUUUUUGGGCAGAGAGGUGGUAUGAAUCUGCAGGGCACUGUUACCAAAUCAGGUUUAUUUGCCCAAUGUGCAGCAAAUCAAAAACACUAAGACACCAAGGUUUGCAGCUGAGAAAGGGUUUAUUCACAAGGCAGCCAAGUAAGGAGACUGGAGAACAAAUUUCCAGUCUGCCUCCCUGAAGGCCAGGGGCUUGGGAUAUUUAGGGGAUAAAGAAGCAAUGUGGGGAAAGGUGAGUGGAGGUAAGAAAAAGGUUAAAUAAUCAUUCUGCACAGACACAACUGAGCUACAUGCUUCUUAAUGGGAUGCAUCUUCAGAAUAUGGUGCUGUUGGCAUGCUCUGGAGUUUCUGGCCCUCUAAUUUCAAAAGGUCAUCCAUCAGACUUGCACAGGCCAAGUUGUAUGAUUGGUGGUCUUGAUGGGUUUAAACUGCACAAGUUCCUGAAAAAUAAGCAACCAUUACUAUAGCAACCCAUAGUUAGAGGUGUUGUCUGUAGGGGGUAGUUAGUUGUUUUAUGUAUGAUACACUGUCUAAGCUACGUGAAGCUUGCAGGGUAUGCAAUUUGCAAGAACAAUUACGGUGAGCUUGAUUGGUGAAGGCAAGUUAUAUGAUAUUUAUUAAGCAAGUUAUAGUUUUAGCGAUCUGAUGACUGCCCUUGGUUUUUUUGGGAGGGCGGACAACAAGGGCCCUGGUAUACUUUGUUAUGGCUAGGCAGCUGGCCUUUUUGCAAUUCAGGGCAACAUCGGAAGUCUCACAAAAUCUAGCUGUUUUCAACUGAUGGGGAACAUUUUGGAAAGAACUGUGGUUUUUGUUUGUCUAGUUUCUGGCUGUGCUUAGGACAUGUGGAAAUUCCCAGAAGAGGGACUGAACCCACCUCACAGCAGUGACCUGAGCCACAGCAGUGACAAUGCUGGAUCCUUUAAUUGCUAUGCUGUCAGGGAACUCCUAGAUAGAAUUGUUCAUGCUCUGCCACAAGUUGCUCACCUUACUGAGUACCACAGGUGGAAUUCCCCGACAAAACCUUUACCUAUGAAUCUCAGCUGCUUCCUUCUGGAUUCCUUAUCAUUUUCCCUGUCCUUCACUUUGGGGAAUAAUGGCAGUUCCCCCCAUAAAGAGAACAAAGUCAAAGCCUUUUUUCCAUCCCUGGACAGACACAGAUUCAAAAAGUUCUCAUUGUACCAGAAAACCAAGGUCCACAGAAACUAAUGGUUUGCCAGGGUAAACUAGGAUGGCACAGGAUGGAUUCAACAUGCAUGUGGCUCUCAGGGUGCCAAUCCAUUACUCUUGUAUAGGAGGAAAAAAAAUAUUUUUUCCUACCCUUCUAAGUUCUCUACUGGGAAAAAAAACAGAUUAACAAGAGAAAAGCAUACAAAUUUAAUGUAAAUCUUUGUGACUCAGAAGCCUUCAUAAGAAAGUGAAGACCUAAAGAAAUGUUUAAACCUUGAGUGUUUUUAUACUAGGUUUGAUGAAGUGUAGAAAAUCAUAGAAGGUAUGAUAGGACAGAGUAUAAGCUAAGUGUAAUAACAUGGGGGAAAUUUAGCAAGUCCUAUUCAUUUACAUUCCUCUCUGUGUUGCUUCUAAUUCAAAGAUAAGAAUGCUUCUUUCCUCCAGGUAUAGGGAGGGCAUUGCUCACAUGAGGAUUGAACACCAGCUUCAGGGUAAGUCUGUGCAAAUGCCAUUUCUCAAAUUCCUUAAGCUUAAAAUACUCGGUGUGUUAAUAGUAGCAUGUCCUGAACCCUCAUCACUCUCCAUGCAGAUGGCCAAUAAGUACAAGAAAAGAUGCUCAACAUCAUUAGUCAUUGUGAAAUAGAAAUUAAAAACACAAGGAGAUAGCACUUCAUACAGAGUGGGUAUAAUAAUGUUAAAUGGGACAUGGAUAUUUUCAUGUGGCAUUAGGAAAUAACUGUAAGCUUUUGUUCAAUGCAGUGCUGGUAUUUUGGGGUUUUUAAAAACUUUGUUAGUGUAUCAUACUUUACAUCAUAUGGGGUAUAUAAAUUAGGGUUUAUGGGUAAGGUCAAUAUGCUAUGAAAUACUGCAGCAAAAAAAGCAAAAACAUAAUUAGAAAAAAUUUGGUUAUUUUUGAAGCUGGUUGGUGAAGGGGUUUAGAACAUGCCACCCCAAAAUAUGACACUUUUGGCAUAUGAAUUGCUUUGAGCUAGCAGCAAUUAAGACACAACAGAGGCAGGAAAAUCUCUUCCUCUUCUAAAGGAAAUUUACAUUUAUGAAGGAAAUUUUUCUUAGUAAAAUUAGAGCCACAUUCCCAGACACAUUUGUGAAAAUUGCAUUCCUAUAUAAGUAAUUAAAGAAUUUUUUCCCUUCCUUUAAUCUCUCAUAUUUUGUUAGGCCAACUAUAGAACUUAACUAGAAGGAAGUUUUUUUCUUUCUCUGUUAUUAGGCAAAUGAAAUAUUCCAUCAUAUUUGCUUAAAAUUAUACAUGAUAAAUACAUAAAAAUAAUGAGGAGUUCCCAGGUAGUACAGUGGGUUAAGGAUCUGGUGUUGUCCCUGCUGUGGCUUGGGUUUCAACUCUGGACCUCUGACCUUCUGCAUGCUGCAG